rnacentral:rRNA from 1 species
AGGGAAUCUUCCGCAAUGGACGAAAGUCUGACGGAGCAACGCCGCGUGAGUGAUGAAUGUCUUCGGAUUGUAAAGCUCUGUCUUUGGGGACGAUAAUGACGGUACCCAAGGAGGAAGCCACGGCUAACUACGUGCCAGCAGCCGCGGUAAUACGUAGGUGGCGAGCGUUGUCCGGAUUUACUGGGCGUAAAGGAUGCGUAGGCGGAUGUUUAAGUGAGAUGUGAAAUUCCCGAGCUUAACUUGGGAGCUGCAUUUCAAACUGGAUAUCUAGAGUGCAGGAGAGGAGAAUGGAAUUCCUAGUGUAGCGGUGAAAUGCGUAGAGAUUAGGAAGAACACCAGUGGCGAAGGCGAUUCUCUGGACUGUAACUGACGCUGAGGCAUGAAAGCGUGGGUAGCAAAC